AUCUUUGUACCAACUUUCACAUAAAAGGAAUGAACUUUAUAGAAUCUUUUUUUCCAUGUGAUCCUCCCUUGUUAAGUUGUAUUACAUAUAAAUUGUUCCACAGAUUUGUAUAAAGCUUCUUGCUAUGAACAUAAUGGACACAAUAGGCAAUGAGACCAGUAUUG